GCAGUCGAGCGGUAAGGCCCUUCGGGGUACACGAGCGGCGAACGGGUGAGUAACACGUGGGUGAUCUGCCUCGCACUCUGGGAUAAGCCUGGGAAACUGGGUCUAAUACCGGAUAUGACCGCGAAUCGCAUGGUUUGUGGUGGAAAGGUUUACUGGUGCGAGAUGGGCCCGCGGCCUAUCAGCUUGUUGGUGGGGUAACGGCCUACCAAGGCGACGACGGGUAGCCGGCCUGAGAGGGCGACCGGCCACACUGGGACUGAGACACGGCCCAGACUCCUACGGGAGGCAGCAGUGGGGAAUAUUGCACAAUGGGCGAAAGCCUGAUGCAGCGACGCCGCGUGAGGGAUGACGGCCUUCGGGUUGUAAACCUCUUUCGACAGGGACGAAGCGCAAGUGACGGUACCUGUAGAAGAAGCACCGGCCAACUACGUGCCAGCAGCCGCGGUAAUACGUAGGGUGCGAGCGUUGUCCGGAAUUACUGGGCGUAAAGAGCUUGUAGGCGGUCUGUCGCGUCGAUCGUGAAAACGUGCAGCUCAACUGCGCGCCUGCGGUCGAUACGGGCAGACUAGAGUACUUCAGGGGAGACUGGAAUUCCUGGUGUAGCGGUGAAAUGCGCAGAUAUCAGGAGGAACACCGGUGGCGAAGGCGGGUCUCUGGGAAGUAACUGACGCUGAGAAGCGAAAGCGUGGGUAGCGAACAGGAUUAGAUACCCUGGUAGUCCACGCCGUAAACGGUGGGUACUAGGUGUGGGUUUCCUUCCACGGGAUCCGUGCCGUAGCUAACGCAUUAAGUACCCCGCCUGGGGAGUACGGCCGCAAGGCUAAAACUCAAAGGAAUUGACGGGGGCCCGCACAAGCGGCGGAGCAUGUGGAUUAAUUCGAUGCAACGCGAAGAACCUUACCUGGGUUUGACAUACACCGGAAAGCCGUAGAGAUACGGCCCCCCUUGUGGUCGGUGUACAGGUGGUGCAUGGCUGUCGUCAGCUCGUGUCGUGAGAUGUUGGGUUAAGUCCCGCAACGAGCGCAACCCUUAUCUUAUGUUGCCAGCGCGUAAUGGCGGGGACUCGUGAGAGACUGCCGGGGUCAACUCGGAGGAAGGUGGGGACGACGUCAAGUCAUCAUGCCCCUUAUGUCCAGGGCUUCACACAUGCUACAAUGGCCGGUACAGAGGGCUGCGAUACCGCGAGGUGGAGCGAAUCCCUUAAAGCCGGUCUCAGUUCGGAUCGGGGUCUGCAACUCGACCCCGUGAAGUUGGAGUCGCUAGUAAUCGCAGAUCAGCAACGCUGCGGUGAAUACGUUCCCGGGCCUUGUACACACCGCCCGUCACGUCAUGAAAGUCGGUAACACCCGAAGUCCCGCGGCCUA
rnacentral:rRNA from 1 species